rnacentral:rRNA from 1 species
CACGUAGGGUGCGAGCGUUGUCCGGAAUUAUUGGGCGUAAAGGGCUCGUAGGCGGUCUGUCGCGUCGGGAGUGAAAACUCAGGGCUUAACCCUGAGCCUGCUUCCGAUACGGGCAGACUAGAGGUAUGCAGGGGAGAACGGAAUUCCUGGUGUAGCGGUGGAAUGCGCAGAUAUCAGGAGGAACACCGGUGGCGAAGGCGGUUCUCUGGAACGGUACUGACGCUGAGACGCGAAAGCGUGGGGAGCGAACAGG